rnacentral:rRNA from 1 species
AUGAACCAAAGAAUGUCAAGAAACCGGCCGUGGAAGAAAAACCAGUCCACAUGGCGUGCCUAUAUAUAUACCUCGCCGGCCGUGCAUUGCCAUUGCCGGUCGAUCCGCCGAUUUCCGCCCUCCUCCUCCUCCUCAUCCUCUUGUAGUGGCACCCACCACAAAUGCUACAAUCAUCGAACCGAGCAGCAACCAACGACUCCGCUCCCGCAGAACUUUUCCCGGUCUUCGCCUUCCCACCACAAGUGUCGUCCGGCCACGGAAUCGUCCCGCGAGACGUCACACACACAUCGCCACCAGCCCAGCGGAGUCCACAAUAAAACCCAAAAGAUCUCUCCAUCCUUCUCUCCCACUCCCACCCCCACCCGUGUGCCGCUCCCUCGUCUCGUCUUCUCGACCAAGUUUCUCCCUUUCUCCUCUCUCUUUCUCUCCGCGUUGUGGCUGUGGCCUGCGGGGCGCGGGCAGGCGGCGGUUGCUCGUUCUGCUUGGCGUAUGGUCGGCCGGAUGGAGCGGCAGACGGUGUCGACGUCCUCCGCGUCCUGCUCCCCCUCCGGCGCCUCGUCCUCAUCCUCCUCCUCCUGCGGCGGACGGAAGCGGCCCGACAUACUCAACAUGAUCCGGAGUGCAGCAUGUCUUAAUUCAUCAUCUACUGAUACUGGCAAGGGGCGGAGUAAGCAAUCAAGCACCAAGGUGACGCAUGGAUUCCACUUGGUUGAAGGGAAAUCUGGCCAUGACAUGGAGGACUACCAUGUAGCAGAGUACAAGUGUGAUAAGAAUCAUGAGCUUGGCCUCUUCGCCAUAUUCGACGGCCAUCUGGGUGAUCGUGUGCCCAGUUACUUGAGAGCUAACCUUUUCUCCAACAUACUCAAAGAGCCUCUCUUCUGGACCGACCCUCAAGAAGCGAUUAAAAAUGCAUAUGGCUCUACAAACAAAUAUAUUCUGGAAAAUGCCAAGCAACUUGGACCAGGCGGCUCAACAGCAGUUACUGCUAUUGUGGUUGAUGGCAAGGAUAUGUGGAUAGCAAACGUAGGUGACUCGAGGGCCGUUUUAUGUGAACGGGGUGCUGCUAAUCAGAUCACCGUGGACCAUGAACCCCAUAUAUCUAAUGAAAGGCAGAGGAUUGAACAGCAGGGCGGCUUUGUCACAACAUUUCCUGGCGAUGUCCCUCGCGUAAAUGGCCAACUCGCUGUCGCAAGGGCGUUCGGUGACCAUAGCCUCAAGACGCACUUGAGUUCAGAACCUGACAUUAGGCAUGUACCUAUAAACUCAAGUAUAGAGUUCGUCAUACUUGCCAGCGAUGGAUUAUGGAAGGUGAUGAAGAACCAGGAAGCCGUGGACCUCGUGAAGUCGACAAAGGACCCCCAGGCAGCAGCAAAGCGGCUGACGACCGAGGCGCUCGCGAGGAAGAGCAAGGAUGACAUCUCCUGCAUUGUCAUCCGCUUCCGCUGCUGA